rnacentral:lncRNA from 1 species
UGGUGCAUAGACCGUUUUAGUUUCUGUUCGUGCAUGGGGCGUUGAUAUCUUGGAGUUAUUCAUCUCGCGCGCGAUUAUCGAAAUAUUUUGUACGACCGCUUCGUUGUUUUGGUGAAGUGUCUGUAACGUGCUGUGUAUUAGGCAGAGAGA